GCUGGGGUUGAGGCUCAGUGGUAGAGCAUGUGCCUAGCCAAUGCAAGGCACUGGGUUCAAAUCAAUCCUCAGCA
rnacentral:tRNA from 1 species